rnacentral:rRNA from 1 species
CGAUUAGAGUUUGAUCCUGGCUCAGGACGAACGCUGGCGGCGUGCUUAACACAUGCAAGUCGAGCGGAAAGGCCCUUCGGGGUACUCGAGCGGCGAACGGGUGAGUAACACGUGAGCAACCUGCCCCUGGCUCUGGGAUAGCCUCCGGAAACGGGGAUUAAUACCGGAUAUGACCCUUGCAGGCAUCUGUUUGGGUGGAAAGUUUUUCGGCUGGGGCGGGGCUCGCGGCCUAUCAGCUUGUUGGCAGGGUGAUGGCCUACCAAGGCGACGACGGGUAGCCGGCCUGAGAGGGCGGGCGGCCACACUGGGACUGAGACACGGCCCAGACUCCUACGGGAGGCAGCAGUGGGGAAUAUUGCGCAAUGGGCGGAAGCCUGACGCAGCGACGCCGCGUGCGGGAUGAAGGCCUUCGGGUUGUAAACCGCUUUCACCAGGGACGAAGCGCGAGUGACGGUACCUGGGGAAGAAGCGCCGGCUAACUACGUGCCAGCAGCCGCGGUAAUACGUAGGGCGCGAGCGUUUGCCCGGAAUUAUUGGGCGUAAAGAG